CAUGGAAACACAUAGAUUUCUACUAUUUUUAAUUUUUUUUAUAAUAUUUUUAAUACAUUCAACUGCAUAUCCAACUACAGGUAAACAGUUGUUUUACAGAAUAUUUAUCAAUUUAGAACUAAUUUGCAAGUGAAUACGCAAUAUUAAUGUUUCUGUGAACUACCAAUCCCAUUAUCUGUAUUAAUACUUUAUAUUAACUGAAUGUAUGUAACUGAGUGCUAAUUCCUACCAUACAGUGAGAUAUUUUUUGAAAAAAACAAAUACAUAUAAAUCAAUUGACUUAAUUAAAAUAUUCAUUUGCAAAAACUGGAAGCAGCUGUGGGAUUUAUGAUUAAGGAAUAAUGAGUUGUUCCCUCUCUUGCAGAAUCAACUCUAAAUAAUGAUGAAGACGAUGAUGCUUAUAUAGAUGAAGUUACUACUGGUGAGAUAUAAACUCAUUUUUGCCCAUUUCAUCUAUACUUAUUUAUGGUGAAGUUAUAGAAGGAUUUAAUUCAUCUUUUUUCUUUUCAUUGCAGUAGAAAAUUCAUUUGCACAGAUUGAAACAGAUGAAGAGCGCACAAAUAAAAAAAGAAAAGAAAACAUCACUCCUGUUGAUGAAGGAGACGAUGAAGUGAAGUGCAUUCCAGAUGAACC